AUAACGGUCCUAAGGUAGCGAAAUUCCUUGUCAGGUAAGUUCUGACCCGCACGAAUGGCGUAACGACUUGAGAGCUGUCUCAACAACAUACCCGGCGAAAUUGAAGUACUGGUAAAGAUGCCAGUUACCCGUGAUAAGACGGAAAGACCCCAUGGAGCUUUACUGUAACUUGAUAUUGAAUUUUUGUAUUACAUGUACAGGAUAGGUGGGAGACAGAGAACUAAUGCCGCCAGGUGUUAGGGAGUCGAUGUUGGGAUACCACUCUUGUAAUAUGAAGGUUCUAACCUGCACCCGUGAAUCCGGGUGGGGGACACUGUCAGGUGGACAGUUUGACUGGGGCGGUCGCCUCCUAAAAGGUAACGGAGGCGUUCAAAGGUUGGUUCAGCACGGACGGAAAUCGUGCAACGAGUGCAAACGCAUAAACCAGCCUAACUGCGAGACCGACAAGUCGAGCAGUAACGAAAGUUGGAGUUAGUGAUCCGGCGGUAUGAGAGUGGAAUUGCCGUCGCUCAACGGAUAAAAGCUACCCUGGGGAUAACAGGCUGAUCUCCCCCAAGAGUCCACAUCGACGGGGAGGUUUGGCACCUCGAUGUCGGCUCAUCGCAUCCUGGAGCUGUAGUCGGUUCCAAGGGUUGGGCUGUUCGCCCAUUAAAGCGGUACGCGAGCUGGGUUCAGAACGUCGCGAGACAGUUCGGUCCCUAUCUAUCACGGGCGUAGGAAAUUUGAGGAGAGCUGACCUUAGUACGAGAGGACCGGGUUGGACGUACCGCUGGUGCACCUGUUGUUCUGCCAAGGGCAUAGCAGGGUAGCUAAGUACGGACGGGAUAAACGCUGAAGGCAUCUAAGCGUGAAGCCCCCUUCGAGAUAAGAUUUCCCAUAGCGUAGGCUAGUAAGGACCCAUGAAGACUACAUGGUUGAUAGGCCGGAGGUGGAAGUGCAGUAAUGUAUGUAGCUGACCGGUACUAAUAGUCCGAGGGCUUGACCA
rnacentral:rRNA from 1 species